GACGAAGGGGGCUAGCGUUGUUCGGAAUUACUGGGCGUAAAGAGCGUGUAGGCGGCCAGUUAGGUCCGUUGUGAAAACUCGAGGCUCAACCUCGAGACGCCGAUGGAAACCAACUGGCUAGAGUCCGGAAGAGGAGAGUGGAAUUCCCGGUGUAGCGGUGAAAUGCGCAGAUAUCGGGAAGAACACCCGUGGCUAAGGCGGCUCUCUAGUACGGUACUGACGCUGAGACGCGAAAGCGUGGGGAGCGAACAGG
rnacentral:rRNA from 1 species